rnacentral:rRNA from 1 species
GACGAACGCUGGCGGCGUGCUUAACACAUGCAAGUCGAACGAUGAAGAAGAGCUUGCUCUUCGGAUUAGUGGCGAACGGGUGAGUAACACGUGACUAACCUGCCCCUUUCUCUGGGAUAACGCUCCGAAAGGAGUGCUAAUACCGGAUACUCACACCGAGGCACAUGCCUUGAUGUGGAAAGUUUUUCGGAAAGGGAUGGAGUCGCGGCCUAUCAGCUUGUUGGUGAGGUAACGGCUCACCAAGGCGACGACGGGUAGCCGGCCUGAGAGGGCGACCGGCCACACUGGGACUGAGACACGGCCCAGACUCCUACGGGAGGCAGCAGUGGGGAAUAUUGCACAAUGGGCGAAAGCCUGAUGCAGCGACGCCGCGUGAGGGAUGAAGGUCUUCGGAUUGUAAAGCACUUUAAGUUGGGAGGAAGGGCAGUAAGUUAAUACCUUGCUGUUUUGACGUUACCGACAGAAUAAGCACCGGCUAACUUCGUGC